UCUAGGAGCCUCGUGGGAAGAGCCACAUCUCCCGGGAGCCGUGGUGACCUCCUAACCCAGGAGCUGUCAGCUGGGCCUAGUGUGCAAACGGGCUCUUCACAGAUGAUCAAGACACACGUCGUGAUCACGAGAUUCUCAUAACUCGCUCGCGCACAGAGAGCCGAAGAUCGGAAACAUCUCGUUGGAGAAGAGAGGAAGAGGGCGGAGUUUAACAGAGGCGUCGGGGGUCAGGCCACGCGCGGCCGGAAAGCAGAGAAGCACGGCGCAGGCGAGGAGGCGGGAGGCCCGGCGUAAGCUCGCCCAGCGAGCGCUCCAUCCCAGCCCAGCACAGACACAACCGCACUGACCUGCACACUGGCCGCUCUCCUUGGUGUAGCCCGGGACGCACUCUCUACACUGUUCUGGACCCUUCCCCGUGCAGCCCACACAGG